rnacentral:misc_RNA from 1 species
UCGUAACAAGGUUUCCGUAGGUGAACCUGCGGAAGGAUCAUUACUGAGUGCGGGCUGCCUCCGGGCGCCCAACCUCCCACCCGUGAAUACCUAACACUGUUGCUUCGGCGGGGAACCCCCUCGGGGGCGAGCCGCCGGGGACUACUGAACUUCAUGCCUGAGAGUGAUGCAGUCUGAGUCUGAAUAUAAAAUCAGUCAAAACUUUCAACAAUGGAUCUCUUGGUUCCGGCAUCGAUGAAGAACGCAGCGAACUGCGAUAAGUAAUGUGAAUUGCAGAAUUCAGUGAAUCAUCGAGUCUUUGAACGCACAUUGCGCCCCCUGGCAUUCCGGGGGGCAUGCCUGUCCGAGCGUCAUUGCUGCCCAUCAAGCCCGGCUUGUGUGUUGGGUCGUCGUCCCCCCCGGGGGACGGGCCCGAAAGGCAGCGGCGGCACCGUGUCCGGUCCUCGAGCGUAUGGGGCUUUGUCACCCGCUCGACUAGGGCCGGCCGGGCGCCAGCCGACGUCUCCAACCAUUUUUCUUCAGGUUGACCUCGGAUCAGGUAGGGAUACCCGCUGAACCUAAGCAUAUC